GACGUAGGGCGCGAGCGUUGUCCGGAUUUAUUGGGCGUAAAGGGCGCGUAGGCGGCCUGAUAAGUCGGGGGUGAAAUCCUGCGGCUUAACCGCAGGGCUGCCUUCUAAACUGUCAGGCUGGAGCACAGUAGAGGCAGGUGGAAUUCCCGGUGCAGCGGUGGAAUGCGUAGAGAUCGGGAAGAACAUCAGUGGCGAAGGCGGCCUGCUGGGCUGUUGCUGACGCUGAGGCGCGAAAGCGUGGGGAGCAAACAGG
rnacentral:rRNA from 1 species